UUUUGGUCGGCGAGGAGGAGGAAGUCGAUAGUCUGGCCGGGGGAGAUGGCGAUGUAAUCGGAGGUGAAGGGCUUCAGGUACGCGCCGUCGGAGCCGACGAUGGUGACGUUGUGGCCGCCGAUUUUGAAGAACAUGAUGGUGUUCAUCACGGCGUUAACCAUUCGAAUUAGGUAUCUCUUGCCGUGGUCGACGGUGAGCUUGAACGUAUCUGCAUGAAUUCCAAGGAGGGAAGAUAAUUAAAAUGAUUUUAAAUUAAAUUCUCAAUUUUAUAAUUUAAUGAAAUAUGGUUUCUAACUAAAAUUAAUGAAAGAUAUUUUUUUUCUUCGCGAGAAAUGUUCUAUAUGUAGACAUGCACAAAACUUCAAUAUAUGGUACAUUUUCUAUUUUCAUUUUUCACAACAUUUUGAAUUAAUUAAAUAGCAAUUAUGUUAUUAUUAUAAAUUAGAUCGUAUCCAAAUAAAUAUUCCCUCCAUCCCAUAGUGUAGUCCCCCAUAGUUUUUGGGCACGAAAAUUAAGAAAUGUGUAAAAAAUAGAUACAGUGAGUUGAUGGAAAUUAUUUAAAUAUUAUAUAUAGAGCAAAAAUAUAUUGUCAAAAAAGGAAUGAGACAUUUGUAUUAGCACGUCCCAAAAAGGAAAGUGGGACAUUACUAUUGGGACGGAAGGAGUACAACUUAACAUCCACACAAAAUAUAACCACAAGUUGUCGAUAGGACUUGAACCAGAGUAUUUUUGGUGCCUCAACUUUGUCACUUUGGGCUAAGCCUCUUCGACCACAACGUGACAGAUUAAUUUCAUAAAAUAUAUACAUUUUUUCUUCUUCCUAUGUGACAAAUGAGGUAGUCUUUUUCCUCACAUUUGCUGAGAUAUAAUAUAUAUAUUGGGAAGGGCUACCGUGAGAGCACCUCUUAAAAUAAGAAAUAAAAAUUAAAAAAAAUGUAUAAAUUUUAUGUAGAACACGUAUGAAUUCGCUGUAUAAAGGUAUGAAUUGCGAAAAAUAAAUUUUUGCUAUCUUUGAGAUUCGAACUCAGGACCAUAAAUUCAUCCAACAGGAUGAUGAAUCAACCGUAGAUCCUGAUGAUCUAAAGACUGAAAAUGAUGAUUCUUAUUUUAUAUUUUAAAAAAUGUACUUAUUUUAGUCAUUCCUCGUACAUAGUAGGGGGAGUUCGAGGAUUUUUUAGGACAGUAAUUUAGAUUGAUUUGGAAAUUAGUACAAUAACUUUCGAACUUGUAAAAAUAGGACACUGAUUUUUUUUAGAGUAAAAUAGGACACUAAUUAAUAAGUGUUGCAUCCGCAGGACAUUUUUUAGCCAAUUAUCGGCUGAGAAAUGUCCUAUUUUUACGACACUUAUUAAUUAGUGUCCUAUUUUACUCUAAAAAAAUAAUUAAUGUCCUAUUUUUACAACUUCGAAAGUAGGGGUAUGUAUUAAUAUAAGUUCAACUCGUGGAAUAUUUUAUUCGAAAAGAAAAGGUAAGCAAGUUUUUCAUUCUAAAAAUUAUCUAGAAAUUACUUAUCUCACGUUUCGUUAUAUUAUACUCGUUUAUGCGUACUUGUUCAGCAAAAAUCACGUCAUCAAAAUAGAUAUUUCUAACACCACAUUUUCUGGUCAACAAAUAAUCACCAAACCAUGCAUAUAUAUAAUUAAUUACAUGUGAUCGAUGACAGUCCAUUUAGAAUAUAGACUUGCAAAUUAACACACCAACGCCUCUUAUUAUAAAUCUAAUACCUUUGUGCACAUCAAUUUAGCAUGAAUAUAUAUAAAAAAGAGCGCAUUACGUUGAAAUUAAAUUAAAGUAAGAAGCUCAAACCUUGUGUAGAGCAAGGGUACAAGUAACCUGGUUGACCAUUUAUGAGAAAAGCAUCAGAAUUAUUAGGCUCUCCUCCAUUUUCAAGAAAUUCACUAAGAACAGCUUGAACAUCACUUUUCCACCACUCCCCUACAAUUAAAACACAAAAUUUCUUUUAAAUUAUCUUAGUAUACAUAUACAUACAAACAUACUUAAAAGUACCUAAUAUAAUUGGGAUUUGUGCGUAGGGCACAUGAUAAGGAUAAUCAUCCUUCUUCUUGGGAUAUAUAAUCACUGCUCCAUGCACCGUAGCCCUUGACCAGUCACUGUGUGCGUGCCACCAAAGAGUCCCGAUCUCGUCAGAGAAUUCGAUCUUCUGACUGAAAUUAGUCCCCGGUCGAAUCGGGCAUUGAGUUAUGUAUUCAGGGCCGUCGGACCACGGAUAUCUUGGUUGCUUCACCCCAUGCCUACCAAUAACACCAAACCAACUUAGGGUUUCUUUUUUGUGCAAAAGAUGUUAGUGGGACUUUACCAGUGAAUGGUUAUGUUUUGUGUUGCUUUGUUGGCGACUACUACGACAAUGGUGUCUCCCUCAGUGACAUAUAUAGUUGGCCCCGGAAAUUGCCCAUUUACAGUCAGUAUAGUCUUGUUGCUGCACAACCUAUUGUAUGGUGUUUCCACCACCUGCAACACCAAUAAAUUAAUCUUGUGGAUGAUCGAUGAUGCAACUAUAUAUAUAUGUGAUCAAGCUAAGGAACUUACGUCGAAGUUAUAGUGAUGAUGAGUCAUAGCAUAGCUAUAAAUCACCUCACUAUGUAAGAGAAAAACUGCUGAGAAUUGCAAGAUCAACGUCUUGGUAGUUCCCAUCUUCUCACUUAAUUAGUAACAAGAAAAUAAAAUGAAUUCCCUUUCAAAAAAGCACAACAAGAGAAAAGAAUUACUGUUACUUCAAUGAAUAAGUAUUCAUAUUUUCAAAUUUUCUAUCUUUAAUUCUCUCUCUAUAUAUAUAGGUAUGUAUGUUGUAGAAGGUUCAAUGGAGGUGGUGGGAAAAAUGAAAAUUUGAUUUGGUCGUGAUCGUUCAUAUUGGACAUAUUGAUUUUGGAAGAUUUUUAUCAAAAUCUUGGAAAUAUUAGGUCAUCUUUCACAAAUGGUGGACGCUAAUUAUUGGUUGUUUAUUAACUUUCAGUUCAUGAAAACUGCUAUUGAUGGAGAUUGUUUAGAAAACAAAAACUUAAUCGUAAACAUAGAGAUAUUGUACUUUGAGAAACGAAAAUUAGAUACAAAAUGAAAAUAAAGAAAUGUAAAUGUUUAUGUCCCAUGCAUCAUUUUAUGUGUCCACGUCGGCUUUCCACGUCAGAGCUCGACUACACACGUCAGAAAAAAAAAAUGGGACACAAUUUAAGUAAGAUUUUUAAAAAAUGGUUGACAAUUUUUUAUAAUUAUCUUUAAAGUAAGAUAUUUCUGAGAAAACACAAAACGAUGAAAUACAAACAGAUAUUUAACGAAUGGGUAAUUAUAAAAAAUCAUGCGGUUUUAAUUAAUUACUUCUUUAUUAAGACGUAUCGCCACUUCAUUCAUUAAUUUGAAAUUCGAGAACAUAUAUAUAUAUAUAUAAUAUAUUAGGUCGGUUGCUUGCACUCUUUGCCGUAAUUAGGUUUGAUUUAAUAUUAUUCUUUUCUGUGGGAAUUUGGAGUUUGAAAUUGAUAAGCAAAUAUAGUGCAAUAAGUCUUUCUUAUUACAGCACUUAAAUGAUUUACACAAAAUCUCCUCUACACUUAAAUGAUUGUACGUCUGAAUUGAUCCGUACUCAAAUUUUGACCCGCAUGUUAAUCCAAAUUCGCAUUUUAAUUCAAAUCAUGUAAAUGACACUACUCGGUUAUAUAAAUGACAAUGUAACAUUUUAAAAUGUUAUAGUGUCAUUUUCAAUCUUAUAUAUAUAGUGUUAUUUAAAAUAUUAUAGUGUCAUUUAUAUUUUUGAAUAGUAUCAAUUAUACACAGUGUUAUGUUAUAGUGUCAUUUAUACGCAGUGUCAUUUGUAUAAUCGAAUAGUGUCAUUUACACGAUUUGAGUCAGGAUGCGAAUUAGGAUUUGGGUACGGAUCAACCGGGUGUACGGUACACCUGAGUGUAUCAAGACCACCUCAAUGAUUUAUUGGAUUAAUUGCUUCGUUUAAUUAUUUUAUUUAGUUUCUACCAAUCUUCGCCACACUAAAAAAAUAAUAUGAGGUUUGGUAGCUAUUAUGUAUGUCAUAAAAAUUAGUGAUAUUUGAUGAUGUAGCUAAUCACUAAUAGUUAUACUUUCAAAUGCUACUAAUUUUUAAUUAUGACAUGAAUAUUAUUUUUAAUAUUGACAUAAAAAUUAAUUAUCAAGGCUUAUGUCACUGAUAGAAAAAAAAUUUGUAGUGCCAAGUCGUUUGAUUAUAAUGGGAAUUGCAUCAUCAUAUUCUAGCCAAUUAGUAGCGAUAGUCCAACUAUAUAUGUUUCUUCUAGUUCUUUUCUUAAAUUCUUUAUUAUGGUUAAAAUAUUUUCAAAAUACUUGCUUACUACUUAAUUUAGGCAUGUUCCAUAGUCGAAGAAAAGUCAAUUAAAUAUUUUUCUCUUCUUUCUUCCCCCCUAAAGUCAAGGUCAUGACUUUUUUUUUUUCCUUUGAGUAAAUAUAUAACCAAGCCCAUGCAAGAAUAAAUAUGCACUAAUUAAAAUGACACCACGUUUAAUUAACUUAUAUAUGGAGUAGAUGAAUAUUUUUCCAUCAGAACAAAAUUACUACUACGUUUUUUUAACCAAAUCAAAUGAAACUAAUUAAUUUUAGAUAUAGUCACCUUAUUUUUCUCCAAACCUAAAAGCCAAUACGGUAAUUGAUUUUAUUUUUUUAGUUAAUUGGUGAUCAUCCAAGGAAGCGUUGGUUUAAUUAAUUAGUGGAUGUGAUUAGAGAUGUCCAAAUUAAUUGAAAUUAAUUGGUGGUUCCAGCCCGAAAUGGAAUUGGCGGUCAACAAUUCGGGCUCGGAACUGUUGACUAUGGGCCAGUUCAAAAUAGGAACUGUUGAAAUAAAUAACUGAAAUAAAUAAGAGUCGAGAGUUUUGGAAUCGUAAACCGACUGUUUAUAGCGUUUGGGUUAACCUUCAAACCGUUGGUUAACUGUUGAUUUAUAAUAUAUAGAUUUAUAAUUUUAGACUUAGACUUAUAUUUUGUAGUAUAAUUAUAGAAAGAAUGUAAAGUGUAAAGACUAUAUUUUAUUUUUAUUUUACUUAUUAAAUUUUGUAGUUUGAAGAUUGUAAUUUGUACAUAUUUACUUUGAGUAAUAAUACGAAUUUUGUUAUAGUUGAAUGUUAUAAUUAAUUUUAUUUCUGUUAUAAUCUUCAACAAUUAAAUUCAAUGUAAUGUUGUAAAUUAAUUAUAUAAUUAAAUAUAAAGGAAAAAUAUACACAACACUCAAACUAAAAAAAAAAAAUUAAAAAUCGUCGGGCCAAAAAAUCGAUGGUUCGAAUCAAACCAUAAACCGCCGAUUUCGAGCAUGACCUAAACUUUCUUCAUACUCAAACAGGCCGAUUACGGCUCACCCUAUUAGUGAACCGAAAAUCAUCGAUUUUGGAUCUGACCCAAACCUUCUUCAUACUCAGACAGACCAGUUACGGUUCAUCUUAUUGAUGAACCAAAAAAAAUCAAAAAAUUGUUGAUUCGAGCCCGAAAAUUAGCGGUUUAAUCCAGAACAAGAACCGCCGAUUUCGAGCUCGACCUCAAACGUUCUCCAUACUCAGGCAAGCUGGUUACAGUUCACCCUAUUGGUGAACGUUGAACCAUCAGUUCCCUUGUUCAUGGGCAACACUAGAUGUGAUAAUAAGAUUGAUAGGAUUAGAGCAUAAUUAUACAAUCAAUUUAAUUUUGGGAUGAUAAAUAAUUAUUCAAUUUGAUAUAUUAUUAAAAUGCAGAUCAAAUUAUCCAUCACGAACUGAAUCAUAUAUAAAUCAAACAAAUUGAUUAAAUUCAAUUAUUUUGUCAACAUAUCUUAUUACUCAAACGAAAUGCUUGUUAAUUUCCUAAUAGAUUUUGCUUCAUCAAUACCUGUCAAUGGGUGAAAAUGAAAUAAGAUUACGUUCAUCUACACUUUGCCACCACUAUUACAAGGCGGAGUUAUUAAAAAUGAAAUUAUCAACCGAACUUACAGGAUCUUUGGUCAGCUUAUAAGUUGUUUAGAAAUUUAUAAGCUUAUUCAAAGUAUUUGAUAAAAUAAAUUUUUAAACAAUUUAUAAGCUUUAAGAACUUAUAAACUUCUAAAAAAUAAGCUAUCUACCCCAACUUAUUUUUUCAUAACUAUAAUUAAUUAUUUUCAUUAUAUACCCUUUCAAGUUCAAUCUUCUUCAAUUUUUUCCCUCUAACAAAGAUUUUCUCUAUCUAACAUAUAAGCUCAAUUAUUCAAAUACUUUAACAAGUUAUAAGCUCUUGAAUCUUAAAACAUCUUAUAAGUUGGAACUUAUAAGAGUUUAUAAGCUCAUUAAAAUAAACUUUACAAACCUCUAUUAGUCUUCUAGAAUUCAUAUGUUAUAUACACAUAGACUCCUACUAAUAAAUAUUCCCACCGUCCACAAAAAAUAGUUUAUUUUGUUAUUUUUAGAUGUCCAACAAAAUUAGUCUCUUUCUAUUUUUUAAAAUUAUUUAUUACAUAGUAGGCCCAUAUUUUUCACUAGCAAUAUAACUAAUUAUCAUUAUAAAUAUCAUUUUUUAAAUGGAAUCAUUUCUCUAUUUAUAAUAAAAUAAUUAUUUUUAUUAAAAUUCGCAUCGUUGCUUAUUAAGAUUAUUUUUUGUGGACGAAUGGAGUAAUGAAAAUAUACCUAAGACCAGAUAAUUAUAAUUCUUAAAAGAGCUACCAUUUCACGUCACUUCGACGUAAGUCAUAAGGGUACAUGAAUGAUUAACCCAUCGCGAAGCACCACUUAAGCUUCAACUACAAGAAAUAGAUAUUCGCCAAAAGAGGCGCACGCUAAUUUAUGUACGUGGAUGCACGUCCUAAUUAUAUUUGAGUUUUGAUUAAAAAAAUAAAAAAUUAAAUCUAAUUGAAAAAUAGCUUCAAUUUAAUUAAAAGUCUAAUUAACCUUUACUUAAUAAUUAUUUUAUUAUAACCUUUGGUGGGGUGGGCAUAAAUAUCAAAAUAUGACCUAAACCAUACUGUCUUCUUCUUUUUCCAAAAAAGACACGGAUAUUUUAUGUUAUACAGUGAGCGUCCGAUUUGAUAAAUGAAGGGACAAGAUUGAUUCNNNNNNNNNNNNNNNNNNNNNNNNNNNNNNNNNNNNNNNNNNNNNNNNNNNNNNNNNNNNNNNNNNNNNNNNNNNNNNNNNNNNNNNNNNNNNNNNNNNNNNNNNNNNNNNNNNNNNNNNNNNNNNNNNNNNNNNNNNNNNNNNNNNNNNNNNNNNNNNNNNNNNNNNNNNNNNNNNNNNNNNNNNNNNNNNNNNNNNNNNNNNNNNNNNNNNNNNNNNNNNNNNNNNNNNNNNNNNNNNNNNNNNNNNNNNNNNNNNNNNNNNNNNNNNNNNNNNNNNNNNNNNNNNNNNNNNNNNNNNNNNNNNNNNNNNNNNNNNNNNNNNNNNNNNNNNNNNNNNNNNNNNNNNNNNNNNNNNNNNNNNNNNNNNNNNNNNNNNNNNNNNNNNNNNNNNNNAUACUGAUGAAAAAUAAAAUUUAAAAAAUUCGUAAUGAAUAAGACAUAUAUACUGAUGAACAUGGCAGUAUAUACUGAUGAACAAUGCAGUUUAUACUGAUGAAUAACAAAAUUUAAAAUAUUCUGCUCCCUCCAGGAUUCGAACCCUGGGAAAAAAAUCAUCAUCCAGAUACAAUAUCAGUCAUAGACUUAUAGGAUUGGUAAAAUAAACGCACCAGAUCGUGCCCUAGGUCUCACUAAAAUUAGGGGGUCUCAGUAGAGCGGCCCCCUACAUAUAUAUAUAUAUGCAAAAAAAAUGUCAUUACAAAAAAAAAACUUUGGAAUAAUUUAAUUUGAUAUUACUUAUAUUUCUCUUAAAUUUUUGUCAAACUUGAAUAUCAAGUUAUGGCCCAAAUCUUUAGAAUUACACAUCUCCAAAAUUUGGGUGGGGCGUAACCAUGUUAAGUAAUUGGUCGUAUUUUAAAACUAAUAUUGCUUAGUUUGGCCCAAAGAAUACUGGACCCAACACAGAUUAGGCUAGCUGUGUCUGACCCAUAUCUUACGCGAUCGGGCUAUUCAACCCGUCAAUUGGCCCCAACACGUAAUUGAAAAUAUAUAUACUCCAUAUGGGGAUCAAAUCCUCUACAUCCCUUCUUAUGAUAGUAUAGAUUUAAAUUUGGACUAUACAUUUUAUUUACAUAUAGUAUAUUAUUACAUACAUAACACGAGACUAACUCUCAUUUUUUUCUGAACUCAACUCUCUAACCCUGUAUUCGUGGAGUUGCACUUGCUAUUUUUUUUUACCUAAAACUGAUUUAUUUUGUUCUCAAAUCUCUUGCCAUCCUUUUCUUUUAUUAAAAAAAAAUGAAUACAUUCUCCCAAAGCCCGAAGAAUAAGUGGGCUAAAUGAAAAAUACAUUUUUUAUGGGUCAUGGAGAUAUAAAAAAAACUAUAAAAAUAAUAUUUUAACAUAUAGUAAUACCUAAUACUAUUAAAAACAAAAAAAUUAGGGGUACAUGGGGUACAGCUGUACCCCCAACGCCCCACUAUAUACGCAUUCAUCAAUGGCAAUACAUAUUUGUAUGCAAUAUUAUGUAUACAAAUAUUUGAAUUUAUGCAUANCAUAUUUGUAUGCAAUAUUAUGUAUACAAAUAUUUGAAUUUAUGCAUAUUUGUGUUCAAUUAUAUACAUAAUUAAGGCAGUGAGCAACGAUAAGAGGCACCUGAUGAAUCGUCUAGUGCAAUGCAUAUUUGUGUGCAACGUUAUGUAUAUAUAGAUCAAAAUCUAGACCACACAUUUUGUUUAUGUGGCGCACUAAUAACACAACACGUGGCAGAAGCCUUCCAAAUUAAAAUACACGCAGAGGUAAAUUAGAAAAAAAAAAUCGCUCGGUGGCCGGGCUGAUUACAACGUAAAUAUGCAUAUAGUUACAAAUAUGCAAUUGUUACAUACAAAUAUAUAUGAUGUUGCCACAUGAAUAAUUAUUAAUGUAUUACAUAACGGACGUUUAGUGCAAUGUUAUAUAUAUGUGUGUUUAUAUAUAUGCAUAUUUGUAUUCAAUUAUAUGCAUAGUCAAGGCGGCGAAAAGCACUUGACGAAUCGUCUAAUGCAAUGAAUAUUUGUGUGCAACGUUAUACAUAUAUGUGUUUAUAUAUAUGCAUAUUUAUGUUCAAUUUUAUGCACAAUUAUAUAUGUAUAUUAUGAUAAUUAGGUAUGCGAAUGAUACUAGUAUUAUUGGCAUUUCUAGCUAGUAUUUUCAUGAAGUAGUUAUUUUAUAUGAACGACUCCCGUAGCACAACUUUUGAGAAGAAGUACACGAAUUAAAUUUGUAUUAAUUAAAUAAAACUUUUGUAUGCAUUUCGAUGUUUAUAACAUAAGAAUACCUAGAUUUUUCCUUAAUGGGCUCACACUCGACUAUGGACCUAUAAACAUCACAGUAUUCAUUUAAAACAAUUUUUUUUUAAAUUAGAAGUAUUCAUUUAGAUCAAUUGUUGAUCAACACUAUUACUAAUAUCAUAUGUAUAUGUAUCAGAUUAUGAUUUCAAACUCAAUACACCACCAUAAUAAUAAAAUCUCAACUAUAUUUAUUUCAUGUAUAAAAGUAUAUCGAACAUAAACACACACAAUAUUAAUGUUCCCCAAUUAUGUUCUCAGUUCACCCCCGAUGUGUCCUGUAAUUUAUAACCUUAAUUCACUCAUAAAAAAANAUCUAGGAAAAAAUCAAAUAUUUUUCUAAUUUGAUUACAGAAAUAAUUUUGAAACAUUUAUUUCCCUCCACACCACCUAUCUCUAAAUCAUGGAUGUAUAUAAUAUUAUUGUAUAACCGUGACGCGGAAAAUUUCCUUGAAUUUGAUCAGCACAUAGGGAAAUCCGACGGUGGAGGAAGCAUCGUUUCGUUCGUGCCUUUCCCAUUUCUAGUAAUAAACACCAUCUCCAUUCCCCAGCUUAUAUGUCUCUCGAAAUGGCAAUGCAUUAGCCAAACCCCUACAAAAAUCACACAAAAAUUUAAACCAGUUUCAAUAAAAGUUCAACUACAGUUUGACCGGUCAACGAAAAACUACAUUGGUGUACUAGUAAGUAGAUAGAAAUUUUGAGUGUAGUUUGACCGGUCAAUGAAAACGGUUUUUCAUUGACCGAUCAAUUAAACAGUCGUGUUUUCUUAUUACCUGGAUUAUUUGCUUGGAAUCUAAUCGCGGUCCAACCGGCUCUAGGCACCGCGAUGGUGUUCUGAAGCGGGGGUCGACGAGAUUGUAGUUCGGUGGGUCCCGAGUGCUGUUGAAAUUCCCAAAUCCCCAUCCUACAACAUAGAAGCUGUGGCCAUGCAGAUGCAUGGGAUGAUCAAUCGGCGCGUCUACCGUACUAGUUCCUUGAAAGACGAGCUCCACCGUGGAGUUAUAGUCGAGCACCCUCACCCUCGUCCCAUUCCGCGGCUCCCACAGGUCCUGCGGGACGUCCGAGGUGUAGUUGAACGGAAACGGGGGGUUGCUCGGGAAAUUCGCGGUGUAGACGCCGCUGAUCCGCUCGUAGUAGGCCUGCAGGAUCGCAAUCCGCGGCGACUGAAACGUGAUGUUGUUGACGCUCGCGAGGAGGCGGUUGCCCUGCGGCCCGCCGCAGUCCGCGUUGGGGCAGUUUCUGGUGUUGAUGGAGAGGGUGAAGAGGAGAUUCGUCGUCACGUUCAACGGCACUUGGAUUGGGUGGUUUUUGUAGGCGAGGCUGCGGAGUCGGGCGGUGAAGUUCACUGAUGCGGCCGUGUCGGUGAAAUCGGGGAGGGUUGGGAGCAGUGGGGACGCCGGCGGGGUGUAGUUUCCGGAGUACUCGACGCGGGCGCUGGUGGUGGUGUUGUCGAAAUCUCCGGCGACGGCGUAGGCUCUAGAGGCCAUGUAGUAGUGGCUAGGGUUUUGGUCGGCGAGGAGGAGGAAGUCGAUGGUUUGGCCCGGGGAGAUGGCGAUGUAGUCGGAGGUGAAGGGCUUCAGGUACGCGCCGUCGGAGCCGACGAUGGUGACGUUGUGGCCGGCGAUUUUGAAGAACAUGAUGGUGUUCAUCACGGCGUUAACCAUUCGAAUUAG
rnacentral:lncRNA from 1 species